rnacentral:tRNA from 1 species
AGCACCGUCGCCGGGGUUGAGCGUGGCGACCAGGUUGUUGAUCGGGUCUUCUGGCAGCGGUGCGAGACGUUGCUGGGUGCUG